rnacentral:lncRNA from 1 species
GAGAACCAGCGGGAAGCUGAAAAACAGAAUGGUUAUUGAGAUACCAGCAAAGCACAUCUUGACAGGAAGGUGAGAUGGAGCACGGUGUUUUCCCAGGUCGCUGAUUGUCGUUCUAGGGGAGGGGAGGCUGUGUGCAGCGAGCAUCCUCCUGUGGCUCCCGCAGCCCGAGCGCGGCGGCGUUCUGGCACAGGGAGGCACCAGAGAUGGGAAAGCGAGAUGGGAAGGGCCAGCCUAAGCACUGAGAAAGAAACGAAGCGCUUUUCUUCUUCUUCUUCUUCUUUUUUUUUUUUUUUAAACCUGUAACGAGGCUGGCGUUCACACACCGAGGCCUCAUUAGCAAGCGGAGAAGGGCUCCCACGCUGCCCACCGCCGCGGGCACGGCGCUGCAGGCUGAGCGUGGCGCUGGGGACACCUAGAGGACAGGGAGAGGACAGGGCUGCGCCUCGCGGUGCGCCGCGCACCGGGCGCUGCAGCUGCCAGCUCAGCCAAUUUCUCGGUGAUGUAACGGGAGAGAGCGUUAAAAAACCACUCUGUGUGAACGGAGAACCGUCCCCUGAGACUCUCUGGGGCUCUCGUCAUCCUGCAGCCCUCGCUGCAGUUUCAGAUGUCGUUAACUAAUAGCAUAAGCUAUGCUGCUGCAAGCGAAGGGUGAAAGAGUGAAGUCUGUUACUUAGCACUGUGAUGGACUUUCCGGAAGGCUGCGUCCGGGGAACCCGACCCUGUUCCCAGAGUGGCCAGGUGCAAUGCGGAGCAGAAACCGCUGUUGUGCUGCAGGAGCAUUCCCUGCCCUCCCUCCGGCCGCCGGCAGUACCCAGCCCUGGAAGCAGUGCACAAGCCAUCAAAAUUAUGACUACAGCUGCAGCUAUGGUGAAUGGGUGCCUGCUUUCUGCAGCCCUGCUGAGAGGCGAGGUGCAGGCAUUUAGGAGAGCACACAGAGAAGGAUGGAGCUUUUAACCAAACAUGCUGGCUGAACUGCAGGACAUUCAGUUGUUCUUUGCUUAUUGCACUGAACAAUUAAAGCUGGAUUAUCAAAGUUGUGCAUCUGAGUAAGACAUCACUGGUUCAAGUGAAAUGUUUGCUCAGUUCUUUCUUAUUCUGUUCUGAAAGGAUGUGUGAUCUUUUCAGACGCUGAUUCAGAAAUGAGUGUGUGUGUCCUCUGGUUUAAUUAGUCACAUGGACUGAACAACUCACUGGGGUAACGCGGCUGCAGGCGGGCUGCAGCCUCAGCCCAGAGCUCUGGGGUUGGGGAUGAGCUGUAGGAGCAGCACAGAGCUGGAGGGACGGUCAUGGGAAAUGAGGUGCUUCAUGAGAUACGGGACGCACUGCCAACUGGAUGGGAGGCCCUUAGCUUCCAAACCUCUAUGACCUGCCCGCUGGGCAGCCCCGUCUACGGAUUGCUCAUUGCUCCUGGACACAAUGCAGUGUUGUCGCAGGGUUGCUCACCCGGCCCGCGAGCGCUAUCUCAGUGUACGGAACCAAGUGGCUUUGUUUUUUCCUACCUCUGUUGAUAAGGGCCAACAGAUGUCAGUGCAGC